rnacentral:tRNA from 1 species
GAAAUAAUAUUAUAGGAACUUCUAAUUCUUUGUAUAAAUGUAAAAUCAUUUUUAUUUCA